CUCUAACAGUUCGUCUUCUCCGAUUGAAGAUCAUACAAACUCAGUUCUAAUCGAGCCACUCCUAAUCAAUCAAUCAAUUCUCUUCUUAACUCCCGUCAAUCAAUGCCCUCUUAAUGAGUUUGUUUCACCUCCCUCUUUUUCUCCUUCUUAUAUACGGUUCUUCUUUCCUUUCUACAAACCAAAACCCUAGAACCGCCUUAAGCUCAAGCCAUGGUGAUGAAACCAAACGGCAAGGAUCAGUUUACAAACUCUUCAACUUCUAUGGAUCCAAAAAGAAACUGGUGUAUUGGGUUGCUGAUCAUAGGGGAGAUGGUGAGCAGGAAUUAGAACAUUUAUGGGGUUUAAUAUGAGUGAUAUGUUUACCUGCAAGUAACGUAGAAGAGACGAUCUUAAUAUAAGCACAGUAAAGCAGAAGAGACGAUCUGGAAUAUUGAAAUUGAUGAGUUUUGUGUGCACUUAACAUGAUAGGCUUAUAUAAGAUUUUCAACUUCUAAGCUGAGAUCUCUUAUGCAGAGCAAAUGACAAAUUGGAAUCUCUUGGGUAUGUUCUUAUGUAUUUUCUUCUAGGAAGGUACCAUAAAGCAAAAUUGUAACAAGAUCAGUGAAAAGAGAAAGCUUACACCUGUUGAGAUAAUAGUUACUGACAUGAGUGAUAUGUUUACAGUUGUAUUGAAAAACCUGUUUACAGCUUAUGCUCAGAUAUUUUCUCACUGAGAUCUGAUUGGUUUGCCUAUAUAUUUGCAGGUUAUUAGUUACCUAAUUUUAUUGGAAAAUCUUGAAUUAUUGACUGUUUUGACUCUACCUCCAGCUCUAAACCAAAAUUAAGUCUGACCAUGGUUCUGAAUCCUCCUGUGCCAUUUGGCAAGAGACCAAAAAUACCUUCACCUUUAAUCUUGCAAGAGAAGGACCUCGGGCCUCAGGGCGACAAUACUCACGUCACCACUGCAAAAGUUACAAGGCAUGGCUACACAAAAUUUAAACAGGCUAUUUGCGGUCAAAGAGAGAUAUUUAUAGCCGGUGUGUGCUCUACAAGAUCAUAAUCGGAUAACAAUCUUUUGAGAGGAACAAGCCAGCCACUGAACAAAUACUAUUGAAUUGGGUGAAAUUCUUAACGCUUCAGCAUGAUCGUUAACCCUCUGUUACGCAACAACUACCCAGCUGCUGGAGCAAUGAGCAAUCCACUUAUAGUGGGAAGAUUAAAGAAGAUAAUCAAAGAAAUGAAUAGUAGAGAUUGUUCGGUAGAAUAAGAAGCAAGAAUAUAUCCCUGUAACAUGUGCAGGGGAGGUUUGAAAGGGUUAAGAGUAUAAUUUUUGCGCUUAGAAGUUUCUUUUCA